rnacentral:rRNA from 1 species
AACGAACGCUGGCGGCAGGCUUAACACAUGCAAGUCGAGCGCCCCGCAAGGGGAGCGGCAGACGGGUGAGUAACACGUGGGAACAUACCCAUCUCUGCGGAACAACUCCGGGAAACUGGAGCUAAUACCGCAUCCGCCCUUCGGGGGAAAGAUUUAUCGGAGAUGGAUUGGCCGGCGUUGGAUUCGCUAGUUGGUGGGGUAAAGGCCUAGCAAGGCGACGAUCCAUAGCUGGUCUGGAAGGAUGAUCAGCCAAAUUGGGACUGAGACACGGCCCAAACUCCUACGGGAGGCAGCAGUGGGGAAUAUUGGACAAUGGGCGCAAGCCUGAUCCAGCCAUGCCGCGUGAGUGAUGAAGGCCUUAGGGUUGUAAAGCUCUUUCACCGAUGAAGAUAAUGACGGUAGUCGGAGAAGAAGCCCCGGCUAACUUCGUGCCAGCCGCCGCAGUAA